rnacentral:rRNA from 1 species
AGACUUUGAUCCUGGCUCAGGACGAACGCUGGCGGCGUGCCUAAUACAUGCAAGUAGAACGCUGAAGACUUUAUCUUGCUAAAGUUGGAAGAGUUGCGAACGGGUGAGUAACACGUGGGGAACCUGCCCCUAAGUCUGGGAUACCAUUUGGAAACAGGUGCUAAUACCGGAUAAUAAAGCAGAUCGCAUGAUCAGCUUUUGAAAGACGGCCUCUGGCUGUCGCUAAGGGAUGGCCCCGCGGUGCAUUAGCUAGUUGGUGGGGUAAUGGCUUACCAAGGCGAUGAUGCAUAGCCGAGUUGAGAGACUGAUCGGCCACAAUGGGACUGAGACACGGCCCAUACUCCUACGGGAGGCAGCAGUAGGGAAUCUUCCACAAUGGGCGCAAGCCUGAUGGAGCAACACCGCGUGAGUGAAGAAGGGUUUCGGCUCGUAAAGCUCUGUUGUUAAAGAAGAACAUGCGUGAGAGUAACUGUUCACGCAUUGACGGUAUUUAACCAGAAAGUCACGGCUAACUACGUGCCAGCAGCCGCGGUAAUACGUAGGUGGCAAGCGUUAUCCGGAUUUAUUGGGCGUAAAGAGAGUGCAGGCGGUUUACUAAGUCUGAUGUGAAAGCCUUCGGCUUAACCGGAGAAGGGCAUCGGAAACUGGCUAACUUGAGUGCAGAAGAGGGUAGUGGAACUCCAUGUGUAGCGGUGGAAUGCGUAGAUAUAUGGAAGAACACCAGUGGCGAAGGCGGCUACCUGGUCUGUAACUGACGCUGAGACUCGAAAGCAUGGGUAGCGAACAGGAUUAGAUACCCUGGUAGUCCACGCCGUAAACG